CCUAGAGAAAUAAAGAGAGCGGGGUACUGGAGUGCUAUUGGAGACAGCUGGUCUGUUUAUCCUUGGUUCUUGUCUUGUGUAGUUGGAGCAAUUCGUGAUGCCGUGGCUUUAUUUACUUGGUAAAAGUUUUACGUUGUAGACUACUGUUCUUUGUAUGAAAUGCUGCAGUAAACGUUUCCUAAUGCUGGUGUCCAAAAGUGGUCAGUUUCUUCCCUAAUUGAUCAGACCAGUCCUAAUCUUGAAUGUGUACUCAGUCAACUUGUCAAUUGUACUUGAGAAUUACAGGCAUGUUCGACUGGGAUGAAGGAGACCGCUUUUCGUUUGAAGAUAGUGAUCGUUUUGAGGAAGACUCUCUCUGCUCUUGGAUAAGUGAGCCAGAAAGUCUCUGCAACAAUUGGCGUGGGUGGAAGAAACCAAAUGGAAACAGUUGUGGCUCAUCAGGCCAUGUUUGUAGU